UUAGCCGCGCAAGCUGUGGUUGGGGCCUGUGGGUACUGACAGCUCCCAGAGAAGGCAGGUGUGGUUGGUCCAGUGAUGGGGCUUCACAUAUUUGCACACCUGUAUUUGUCAUCAGUCUACAAGCAUAUUAUGCGGAAUGAUGACCUCCUCUGCAGGGGGUGAUGUCACAGUGGAACGGCUGCCCACCUGGGGGGCGAUGUCACAGUGGAACGGCUGCCCACCUGCAAAGCACUGGGGCUUUAGGUUACACAUCACAUUUCCUUGUGCACACUUCACUUUCCAGGGCAGGCUGCAGAUCCAGAAAGCCGAAGCUGCAGCAAGUCGGAAGGCGCGCCGCAGGGGGAGUUCCUUCCUCAGGAGACUGCAGUCUUUGCUCUUACGGCCUUCGACAGAUUGGAUGAAGCCCGCCCACGCUAUGGAGGGUAACCCGCUGCAUUCAAAGUCUACAGAUUUAACUAUUAAUCAUAUCUAAAAAACAGCCUCACAGAAACACCAGACUGGUGUUUGAACAAAAACUGAGUACCACAGCUAGCCAAGUUGCCUCAUAAAAUAAAACGUCACACUUGCUCCUUA